rnacentral:rRNA from 1 species
AGAGUUAAAUAGUACGUGAAAUUGUUGAAAGGGAAACGAUUGAAGCCAGUCGUACCGGCGGGUAAUCAGCCUUUUGGGUGUGAUUAUGUGGGGCGUGAGGAGUUUAAUCACCCUCAUCUUUGCAUAUUUGUGCACUUUGGGUGUACUUGCUCGUGUGGUAGGUUAACAUCAAUUUUGGUCAUCAUAAAAUGGCUGGAGGAAUGUAGCUUCGAUCUCGUAUUGAAGUGUUAUAGCCUUUGGUAGAUGUGAUGGUUGGGAUUGAGGAUUGCAACGGAUACCUUUUGGGCUACCUGUCUGAUCUCUAGAAGUUGCUCUGGUGCUGAAAGCUUGCUUAUGGUAUCAAAGUUGACGUCUAAUAGGUUAGAAUGGGUUAAAUUCGUUAAGGAUGUUGACGUAAUGGCUUUAAACGACC